CAGAAAGUUAGUUCCUUCAAGUUUUUUUUCUUCUAGUUGCUUUAGCACUGUAUUAACUAAUCAGCUUUUCAAGAUGCCGCUGUAGAUCAUAAUUCUGAGGAUGGGUAUCCCUGUAGGCGUCCUUGCUAUUGAGGACCCUAUUGUAUGGCCCUAUGCCUGGGAUACUUGGACCUACUGCUUUGCGGAGCCGUAGGGGUGUUAGAGCUGGAGAGUCCAAUGGGUUGAAGAUCAAGCCAUUGUUGUGCAGACUUUUGUUUUUUUGUAGACUGCACGACUUUUAUUAUGUAUAUAUAUAGGAGAACACUUGACACAUGGGGAGGCUAUAACCCCUCUAGUAGUCACUUUCGAUUAUACCUCCUGGCAUGGCUUGAAAUGUUUGUUUUAGGAUUCCCAGCUCAUGUAAACGAUAUUUUGUAAUGUUCUUAGUAAAAUACUAAUCCUACAUAACUUUUGA